CAACUUUUAACAAUGGAUCUCUUGGCUCUGGCAUCGAUGAAGAACGCAGCGAAACGCGAUAUGUAAUGUGAAUUGCAGACUUUAGUGAAUCAUCGAAUCUUUGAACGCACAUUGCGCCCCGUGGUAUUCCGCGGGGCAUACCUGUUCGAGCGUCAUUA
rnacentral:rRNA from 1 species